GAUGAACGCUGGCGGCGUGCCUAAUACAUGCAAGUCGAGCGAACAGACGAGGAGCUUGCUCCUCUGACGUUAGCGGCGGACGGGUGAGUAACACGUGGAUAACCUACCUAUAAGACUGGGAUAACUUCGGGAAACCGGAGCUAAUACCGGAUAAUAUAUUGAACCGCAUGGUUCAAUAGUGAAAGACGGUUUUGCUGUCACUUAUAGAUGGAUCCGCGCCGCAUUAGCUAGUUGGUAAGGUAACGGCUUACCAAGGCAACGAUGCGUAGCCGGCCUGAGAGGGUGAUCGGCCACACUGGAACUGAGACACGGUCCAGACUCCUACGGGAGGCAGCAGUAGGGAAUCUUCCGCAAAGGGCGAAAGCCUGACGGAGCAACGCCGCGUGAGUGAUGAAGGUCUUCGGAUCGUAAAACUCUGUUAUUAGGGAAGAACAAAUGUGUAAGUAACUAUGCACGUCUUGACGGUACCUAAUCAGAAAGCCACGGCUAACUACGUG
rnacentral:rRNA from 1 species